UGGGGAAUUUUGGACAAUGGGCGAAAGCCUGAUCCAGCAAUGCCGCGUGUGUGAAGAAGGCCUUCGGGUUGUAAAGCACUUUUGUCCGGAAAGAAAUCCUUGGCUCUAAUACAGUCGGGGGAUGACGGUACCGGAAGAAUAAGCACCGGCUAACUACGUGCCAGCAGCCGCGGUAAUACGUAGGGUGCAAGCGUUAAUCGGAAUUACUGGGCGUAAAGCGUGCGCAGGCGGUUUGCUAAGACCGAUGUGAAAUCCCCGGGCUCAACCUGGGAACUGCAUUGGUGACUGGCAGGCUAGAGUAUGGCAGAGGGGGGUAGAAUUCCACGUGUAGCAGUGAAAUGCGUAGAGAUGUGGAGGAAUACCGAUGGCGAAGGCAGCCCCCUGGGCCAAUACUGACGCUCAUGCACGAAAGCGUGGGGAGCAAACAGGAUUAGAUACCCUGGUAGUCCACGCCCUAAACGAUGUCAACUAGUUGUUGGGGAUUCAUUUCCUUAGUAACGUAGCUAACGCGUGAAGUUGACCGCCUGGGGAGUACGGUCGCAAGAUUAAAACUUAAAGGAAUUGACGGGGUCAAGCUGUUUCCU
rnacentral:rRNA from 1 species